AAUUGGAGUUUGCUGGCUAUGCUGUGAGGAGGAAGGGAUAGGAAGCAGUGAGCUGAAACUGCAGAAGAGAAAGAGCCAGAGCUGUGUGGGGUUGUUCAUACGACUGCAACUUAGCAAGGAUAUGGAAGCUGAACUUACCAUGAGGUUCUUCCUAAUAUAAAGGAUGAUGAAACUCCAGAAGGGAAAGGAGGCUGGGAAAGAGACAAGGAUUCUUCAGUUGUAGAAAGAUUCAAGGACCUUGAGGGUGUCCUCCUUCCAGAAGGUAAGGUGUGGAGUUCAGCUGGAUGAAGACAAGGUCAAUUCGUUCACUGACAAGAGCUGCUCUGAUGGGAGCUGAAAGCCCGGGCUAACUUCUCCCUUCCUUGGAAGUUGCAUUUAAACUGGGAUGGCACUGGUUCUAAUCUGGUCCUACAGUAGAACUACAACUGUUUGUGGUUUGCCUCCCUGACUGUGACUCUCUGGUUUGACCUCCAUCCUCUAAAUAGGUGCAUCCAUUUGUCAAACAGCUUUACAUCAUGAAAGCACCCUGAGAAAAUCUAAUUUGCACACAUCUCUGAGGUGUUCAUAACGCAUGAGAGUAAUUUUCAUUUCUCACCACAAUAAGUGAUGUCCCCUCCAUUUCCAGGUGUUUAUAUCACUAUUGUGCUGUUUGUUCUUGCUUAUGCUCACAUCCUCUAGUCUGUGAUCUGUCAUUUUUUUCUCCUCAAGCUCCAGGUCCUCAUACUUGCCUGCUCAUACAGUUCAAUUUCUGAUUUAUAGCUUCUUUUUCUUGUACACAGAUUUAGGUAGGGAAUGAAGAUUUAAAUUUCAGCUUCUGAGUGUGCCACAAAGGAACAAAAUUUCUUCUUGAAU